rnacentral:lncRNA from 1 species
GGGGCCGUAGUGCAGCCGAGAGCCCGCGGAUGCGGAGGAGCUGGGCGCGGAUGGAUCCCUGCCCUCCGUGAUGCUGCGUCCCCCCAACCCCGCUGGAGGGCCCUGGGGUCCCCGCGCUCUCGGCUACGGUCCUCCUGUGCGGUCACACCCGAGGGGACACUCCUCUUGGCCGGUUCCCAGGGCGAGGGGCUCUGAAGGCCCAGGAACUGGAUCCUGGGCCAUGAAGAUGGGAAUCCAGGGUGUAGACACAGGGAACCUCGAGCGGAUGGCGCUUCUUAAAAAGUGCUAUGGAUGAAGAUGUCCCGGGAACCAUGAACAAAAUCUGGGCCACUGGCAGAGGAGGCAACCACUCUGCCCUCAUAGGCGAACAUGAACGGGAAGGUGAGGGAGCCAUACACCAGGUCGAACGCAUCGGCGUCUUCCAGGAGCACGUCAGCCAAGGAGGAGGGAAAGGUUCAGAGACGCAGCCGAGCCCUUUGUAGAUGAAGCCUGUGGUUGCCUUCGCGCCGCUGAGGAGGAGCCCCUUGCCGUGGAAGACGGGGGUUUUGAUGUUCACCGGGAAGCGUCUGCCCUUGGACGUGGCCUUGGACCUAGCGGGCAGGUGGAGGGAGCCCCUGCCGGUGACGUGCUGGCCGCCUGCGGGCUCAGCUGCCAGCCCCCGGGCCCUGCGCCCGAGGGAGAAGGGAAUGGUGAUGACCUCCUCGGCCCGGCCACAGAAGUCCCUGCCCUCGGCGAUGGGGCUCCUGAUGAAGUCGGCCACGUACAGGGGAACGGCGAUGGCGUCGGGAGUGCAGCCCGCGGACGGUCGACCAGCAGCCCGCAGCCCAGCGUGCGCAGCUGCCUGCCGGCGGGGGUCGGGCUCCUCUUCGCGGCUGGAGCACAGAGCGAACCUGCCCUUGACGCUGCCGGUGCUCCUGACCUCGGGCCCUCAGGCGGGGUCAGGCGGCUGCUGGAAGAAGCAGAGCCCCGGAGCGCAGGCCUCACCGCGCUCGCCGAAGUAGACCUCGGGGCCCUGGUCGGAGCCGGGACCCUCCGCGUAGCACUUGUGCGCGAUGAACCGAACCAGCUUGCCCAGGAAGAGCCGCACGUUCAGCAAGCUGACGCGGCACUCGGCCCCGCCGGGCGGGCACAGCCGGCACUGCUGGCCCCAGACCCGCAUCUUGACCAGCCCGUGCCGGCCGGCCUCGUCCCACCACAGGUGGAAGAGCACGUGCACGUGGGCCGAGGCCCAGCCCCACUGGCAGCGGCCACACUGGAGCCUGCGGAGGAGAGAGGCUGGUGGGCGAGGGCUCGGCCCGAGCCUGCCCUACGCGCCCCCGAGGCCUCACAGCCCGUGCACACCCCCGAAGCCCCACAGCCUGCGCGCACCACCCCCACCGCGUGUGCGCGCCCCCGAGGCCCCACAGCCUGCGGAGCCCAAGCAGACGCCUUCCAUCCUUUGGCCCCAGCACGGCCCGGGUGGCCAAGCGCGCUGCCUGGGCCCCUCCAGGCUCAGGGCUACGUCUGCUGCUGCUCCGUCCCAGCGAUGCGGGUCUCAGCGCCCCUAGGAGACACCACCAGGACCCCACGGGAGGGAGGGCCAUCUGUGGUGCCCAGGGGGUAG